rnacentral:rRNA from 1 species
UACGUAGGGGCCUAGCGUUGUCCGGAUUUAUUGGGCGUAAAGCGCGUGUAGGCGGCUAUGCAAGUCGGAUGUGAAAGCCCCUCGGCUCAACCGGGGGAAGUGCACCCGAAACCUGCAAAGCUACGAGUCUCGGAGAGGAUCGUGGGAAUUCUCGGUGUAGAGGUGAAAUUCGUAGAUAUCGAGAGGAACACCGGUGGCGAAGG